rnacentral:rRNA from 2 species
CACCUCUAGCAUCGCAAGUAUUAGAGGCACUGCCUGCCCAGUGACUUGAGUUAAACGGCCGCGGUAUCCUGACCGUGCAAAGGUAGCAUAAUCACUUGUUCCUUAAUUAGGGACUAGAAUGAAUGGCCAAACGAGGGCUCAACUGUCUCUUAUCUCUAAUCAGUGAAAUUGACUUCCCCGUGAAGAGGCGGGGAUAAGACUAUAAGACGAGAAGACCCUAUGGAGCUUUAAUCCACUAACCUACUUAUUAUAUAAUUAACCCUACCUGGAUUAAAACAUAUAACCUAAGUUAGAGAUUUUGGUUGGGGUGACCUCGGAGAACAAUAAAACCUCCGAAUAAUUAUAAUCAAGACACACAAGUCAAAAUAAAUAUUUCCAUUCAUAUUAUUCAAUUGACCCAAUUAAUUGAUCAACGGACCAAGUUACCCUAGGGAUAACAGCGCAAUCCUAUUCAAGAGUCCAUAUCGACAAUUAGGGUUUACGACCUCGAUGUUGGAUCAGGACAUCCCAAUGGUGCAGAAGCUAUUAAAGGUUCGUUUGUUCAACGAUUAAAGUCCU